AUUUAACUCUAGCGGGAUGCUUUACACAUGCAAGUCGAACGGCAGCGCGGACUUCGGUCUGGCGGCGAGUGGCGAACGGGUGAGUAAUGUAUCGGAACGUGCCCAGUAGCGGGGGAUAACUACGCGAAAGCGUAGCUAAUACCGCAUACGCCCUACGGGGGAAAGCAGGGGAUCGUAAGACCUUGCACUAUUGGAGCGGCCGAUAUCGGAUUAGCUAGUUGGUGAGGUAACGGCUCACCAAGGCGACGAUCCGUAGCUGGUUUGAGAGGACGACCAGCCACACUGGGACUGAGACACGGCCCAGACUCCUACGGGAGGCAGCAGUGGGGAAUUUUGGACAAUGGGGGCAACCCUGAUCCAGCCAUCCCGCGUGUGCGAUGAAGGCCUUCGGGUUGUAAAGCACUUUUGGCAGGAAAGAAACGUCGCGGGCUAAUACCCCGUGGAACUGACGGUACCUGCAGAAUAAGCACCGGCUAACUACGUG
rnacentral:rRNA from 1 species